rnacentral:rRNA from 1 species
CAUGCAAGUCGAACGAGGGUGAUCUCUUCGGAGGUCAACCGAGUGGCGAACGGGUGAGUAACACGUAGGUCACCUACCCCGGAGAGGGGGACAACCACUGGAAACGGUGGCUAAUACCCCAUACGCUUCGCCGAUUGGUGGAGGAAAGGUGAAAACCGCUCUGGGAUGGGCCUGCGGCCUAUCAGCUAGUUGGUAGGGUAACGGCCUACCAAGGCGACGACGGGUAGGGGGCGUGAGAGCGUGGCCCCCCACAAGGGCACUGAGACACGGGCCCUACUCCUACGGGAGGCAGCAGUAAGGAAUAUUGCGCAAUGGGCGAAAGCCUGACGCAGCGACGCCGCGUGGGCGAUGAAGGCCUUCGGGU